rnacentral:rRNA from 1 species
AAUCAACGCUGGCGGCGUGCCUAACACAUGCAAGUCGAACGCGAAAGCCCCGCAAGGGGCAAGUAGAGUGGCAAACGGGUGAGUAACACGUGGGUGACCUGCCUUAGAGUGGGGGAUAAC